rnacentral:misc_RNA from 1 species
UAUCUGGCUGUAUUAUUCCUUCUGCUCAUUGUCACUUCCUAGUACUUAGUUGUGCUCGUAGGGUUGGUGUUUAUUUUCGUUGGUCUGAUCAAAUCUGAAUGGCCAUUAUAUGUCCCUUCUAUACAGUUGCCCUUCCAUUCUCGGUUUGCUCCCAGAGAUAAUUAAUAUACGUUUGAUAAAGAAGUGCAGGAUUUAGUGGUGGGCUAUAUGGGUG